GGGGAAGGUAGCUUGCUACUGGACCUAGCGGCGGACGGGUGAGUAAUACUUAGGAAUCUGCCUAUUAGUGGGGGGCAACGUUUCGAAAGGGACGCUAAUACCGCAUACGCCCUACGGGGGAAAGCAGGGGAUCUUCGGACCUUGCGCUAAUAGAUGAGCCUAAGCCGGAUUAGCUAGUUGGUGGGGUAAAGGCCUACCAAGGCGACGAUCUGUAGCGGGUCUGAGAGGAUGAUCCGCCACACUGGGACUGAGACACGGCCCAGACUCCUACGGGAGGCAGCAGUGGGGAAUAUUGGACAAUGGGGGGAACCCUGAUCCAGCCAUGCCGCGUGUGUGAAGAAGGCCUUUUGGUUGUAAAGCACUUUAAGCGAGGAGGAGGCUCUUCUGGUUAAUACCUAGAAUGAGUGGACGUUACUCGCAGAAUAAGCACCGGCUAACUCUGUGCCAGCAGCCGCGGUAAUACAGAGGGUGCGAGCGUUAAUCGGAUUUACUGGGCGUAAAGCGUACGUAGGCGGCUUUUUAAGUCGGAUGUGAAAUCCCUGAGCUUAACUUAGGAAUUGCAUUCGAUACUGGGAAGCUAGAGUAUGGGAGAGGAUGGUAGAAUUCCAGGUGUAGCGGUGAAAUGCGUAGAGAUCUGGAGGAAUACCGAUGGCGAAGGCAGCCAUCUGGC
rnacentral:rRNA from 1 species